rnacentral:lncRNA from 1 species
UUAUUUCUCAAGCGAGUUCCCAUCACAUGACUUGUGCGCGAGAUGUCCUCUAUGGUUUGUUCCUUUCUUCUUAUCCACUUAUCAUGCGUUUAAACAUGGUAAUCGUAUAAAACAUGUGUGAUGCUUAUGCAAGAUGUAUUUCUAAAUACUUGUGUAUUUACCACAUAAGUUACGUGUUCUGAUCAUAUUCUUAUGUUUUUUGUCCUCAUUAUUCUAAUAAAAAUGAUCAUAAUAGCGGGUGUUUAUGCACGUUAACACCACCUCUCACCAAACUAAAUAAGAAGCAAAACUUCAUCAAAAUUUGAGAAAAAGUAAAUAAGAGGCAAUAAGAUUAGUUGUAAUUGAGUAGAGGAACGAACUCAUAGAGUAUCUAUGAUUUCUCACUCAACAUCCAACGUAAUUAAAUAAAUUUAGCUAAUAAAAGUGUUGAAAGAAAAAUAAACGAAAUAAGAGUUUUUGAAACAACGACCAUUUUGUAAAAUGGAGAAAUAAGAUUUUCUGGAAAUAAGCAAGGAUAUUUUGAGACUUAAACUUGCCGUGUUUAGAAUCUAGAAAUAUUUUUUCGAGUUUAGAGUGGCGAAAAGAAGAAGAAAUGCUAGAAUGCAUGAUAGAUUAUAAGUGCAUUUUGAAAUGUUUAGCGAUGUGCACAAGAGGAAGCAUGCAUAAAAUCCUGAGAUGAUGCUUGAGGACAAACAUUAUUUUAAAUUUAGGUGUGUGAUAACUUGUAGAAAUACAAGUUAUUGUAGUCUUUUAUGUAAAAUAAUGAAGUUUAAACGCAUAAGAAUAGAAGAAAACAAAGGAAAAAGUAGGCGAUUUUGCUAACUUAUGAAUAACAUAACAUGAAAAAGUCUUAUCCCUGUUUUACUGCGUUUUAGUGUUUUAUCGUAGGAUUUCUAGGCAAAAGAAGUGAUGCUUGGAGAAAUAACGUCUACGCAAGAAGACACAUUCAACCAAGGCAUUCAACAAAGAAGAAUGCUAGGUGUUCAAGUUACUAGCAAACAAAAUUGGUUGACGCAAAAGUCUAAUAAAGGACAAAAGGACAGUUUGUGUGGCACUGAUGUAGCAUUUUAGAGCAUUAAUGGCACGUGGUCUCCUGUCAACAUCAACUUUCACCUAUAAAUGAAGCAUCUCACUUAAGAACAGGUGUGCAUAUUAUGGUCGGGGAGCAAGCUCUAAUAUCGUUCAACCUCCCUUUUCCUGAGUUUCUAGGUGAGAGUUCAAAACAAAAGAGAGAGAGCGCUCCCCCCUCAUCAAUAGGAAAAAUUAGGAGCCAAAGAGAAUGGAAAAUUAUACUUUGAGGGGUGGUUCCUUCUUCUAUCUUCCUUUUUGUGUUUAUAUUGUACUGUGUUGUAAUAUGUACACCAUGGUCGAAAGGCCUAAAGUUAUUUUAUUCAAUACGUUGCACUUUUUAGUUCA